GAUGAACGCUGGCGGCGUGCCUAAUACAUGCAAGUCGAGCGAACAGACGAGGAGCUUGCUCCUCUGACGUUAGCGGCGGACGGGUGAGUAACACGUGGAUAACCUACCUAUAAGACUGGGAUAACUUCGGGAAACCGGAGCUAAUACCGGAUAAUAUAUUGAACCGCAUGGUUCAAUAGUGAAAGACGGUUUUGCUGUCACUUAUAGAUGGAUCCGCGCCGCAUUAGCUAGUUGGUAAGGUAACGGCUUACCAAGGCAACGAUGCGUAGCCGACCUGAGAGGGUGAUCGGCCACACUGGAACUGAGACACGGUCCAGACUCCUACGGGAGGCAGCAGUAGGGAAUCUUCCGCAAUGGGCGAAAGCCUGACGGAGCAACGCCGCGUGAGUGAUGAAGGUCUUCAGAUCGUAAAACUCUGUUAUUAGGGAAGAACAAAUGUGUAAGUAACUAUGCACGUCUUGACGGUACCUAAUCAGAAAGCAACGGCUAACUACGUG
rnacentral:rRNA from 1 species